UGGGCAGUGAACUCAAGGUCUUUAUUCUACUUCAUUACACACCUGUGCAUUCAUCCUGCACUUCAUUAUAUCACAGGUGCCCUAAAACAAAUGGUCCCUAAGGUAACUGGGCCACAGUCUUGUUGGUAAAAGGUGGGUUGCCAUGACAAUAUGACCUGAGAGGCACUUUCCCUGGUGAGGGACAACGCUGAUGAAAGGGCUGCCUACCUUCUGUCCUUGUUGGCUUCAGGGCCCAUCUGACUAACAUUUGUCCUGUUAUGCCACACACAACUCAGAGACCAGCCUGAUGUAUCAGCAUUACUGAGGAGUACCUGGGGCAGACUGUCCCUGCCCCGAAACGAUAGAUGUGAAAGCCUCAAAUGGAAACAUUAUCACCUUGAGACACCAGACAGCAAAACUCAGUAUGGUCAAAGCAAACCCCAGCUAAGG
rnacentral:lncRNA from 1 species